UACGGAGGGUGCAAGCGUUGUCCGGAUUUAUUGGGUUUAAAGGGUGCGUAGGCGGCCCGUUAAGUCAGUGGUGAAAGCCUCCAGCUCAACUGGAGAACUGCCAUUGAUAUUGACGGGCUUGAGUACAGACGAGGUUGGCGGAAUUGAUUGUGUAGCGGUGAAAUGCAUAGAUACAAUCAAGAACUCCGAUUGCGUAGGCAGCUAACUAGGCUGUAACUGACGCUGAGGCACGAAAGCGUGGGGAGCGAACAGG
rnacentral:rRNA from 1 species